rnacentral:rRNA from 1 species
GACGAACGCUGGCGGCGUGCUUAACACAUGCAAGUCGAACGGAAAGGCCCUGCGUUUGUGGGGUGCUCGAGUGGCGAACGGGGGAGUAACACGUGAGUAACCUGCCCUUAACUUUGGGAUAACUUCAGGAAACUGGGGCUAAUACCGGAGAGGAGCUCCUGCUGCGUGGUGGGGGUUGGAAAGUUUCGGCGGUUGGGGAUGGACUCGCGGCUUAUCAGCUGGUUGGUGGGGUAGUGGCUUACCAAGGCUUUGACGGGUAGCCGGCCUGAGAGGGUGACCGGCCACAUUGGGACUGAGAUACGGCCCAGACUCCUACGGGAGGCAGCAGUGGGGAAUAUUGCACAAUGGGCGGAAGCCUGAUGCAGCAACGCCGCGUGCGGGAUGACGGCCUUCGGGUUGUAAACCGCUUUCGCCUGUGACGAAGCGUGAGUGACGGUAAUGGGUAAAGAAGCACCGGCUAACUACGUG